rnacentral:rRNA from 1 species
UACGUAGGGGGCGAGCGUUGUCCGGAAUCAUUGGGCGUAAAGCGCGUGUAGGCGGCCCGGUAAGUCCGCUGUGAAAGUCCAGGGCUCAACCCUGGGAUGCCGGUGGAUACUGUCGGGCUCGAGUCCGGAAGAGGCGAGUGGAAUUCCCGGUGUAGCGGUGAAAUGCGCAGAUAUCGGGAGGAACACCAAUUGCGAAGGCAGCUCGCUGGGACGUUACUGACGCUGAGACGCGAAAGCGUGGGGAGCAAACAGGGAUUAAGAAACCCUGAG